rnacentral:lncRNA from 1 species
CGCCAACACUUUGUUGAAUGAAUGAGGCGUGGUCCAGAAAACCUCAAACACUAGCCUCCUAUCGACAAUUCGACAUGGCUUUCUCCUUGCCACGUGGAGACAGGCAGACUUAGCCCACCGCCAAGUCAGCCUCUGACAGUGCUUGGCCCUCGGGACCUCCGUACAUUGUACAAUAUGAAGAAGGGUCGGCCCUCCUUUUUAUCCAAAGGUGAGACCUUCGGGAUGUGUAAGACGCUCAGACUUGAUUCCCUUCUGUCGGGACCAGGUUGUGUAGACACGAAUACGACAAUGGUAGGCUUAUCUAAUCCGCAGUCGACUCCGAUUCGCAUGGUUCUUCAACUCAAAAGUCCCAAAUUCUCUCUGUCGUAGCGUCGCUACUUUCUACAUCGUUCACCCGUAAACAGGCUUAUCCCUGCUCAGCCCUAUUUCAAACUGGGCCAACACUUUUUUUUUCCUCAACGGGGUGGAACCCCAAACCUGUCAUAUCAUGCGGUGAGGAAAGACCGUUAUUUCCUUCUACUCGUAGAACGCGUAAAAAUUCCCGGAUACAUAUGUCAUAGGGCUAUAUCAGCGGAAUCCUUUCUAUAUCAAAAGGAUUCUAGAAAAGAAUCGGAGUAUUAAAUGAGGAAAAUAUGAUCUCAUUUGUGAGACUUUAGCGAGAAAUCUGAAACACCCUUUGGAAAGGUCCACUGAGUCAUUGACGUUGAGAUCCACCGGCUGCGGAAGGAAUCUUGGAAGGAUUCGCUGAGUUUCGUACUAUAUUCGAAACCCUAUAGUUGUGCUUGAACAUAGCUUUCCGAUGUUGUGUCGUUGUUGUGUAUUGAGCAUGCAAAGGAUGCUAUGUACUUCGUACCUGGUAUGUGUAUCAUACUCGCGAGUCAAGGGAUAUUAUAUGAUACACUCGCUUCGUAUACACGCACCUAGGCGCACUGGUAACCAUCUCAGGUCCAACUCGCUUAUGCCAUCCACAACAUGAGAACCAUUGUCUCAUAGGGGAAAAAAAAAACGUUGAGCCGCAUCCGAGCACCCGAGGCAGUUUUGAACACAUACGUACGCCAAUUACAUACCGUUCUUUUACUCGUUCGACGUUUAAGUUAGCGACUACAAAGUUUGUACGUACAUAUAUGGGGAGGUCUUAUGAUAAUCAUAACUAUAUUACUCCGUAUAUUACAUACGUAGUACCAUUGUAUCGAUGCCACGUGAGU